GGAAACCUGAACAUGUGACAUAGAACUGUAUAGAUGAGAGGUGGAAGUGGUUCGAGAUACCCUUCUUCAUUAUUUUUUGUUGUAUCAAUCAAAUUAUACUAUUAAACUAAAUAAAUAAUUUUAUAAAUAUAGAAUUGUCUUGGAGCACUUGAUGGGACAUACAUAAAGGUCAAUGUAAAGGAGGAUUACAAGCCUAGAUAUCGAAGCC
rnacentral:lncRNA from 1 species